GGCUCAGGACGAACGCUGGCGGCGUGCUUAACACAUGCAAGUCGAACGCUGAAGCUCCCAGCUUGCUGGGGGUGGAUGAGUGGCGAACGGGUGAGUAACACGUGAGUAACCUGCCCCGAACUCUGGGAUAAGCGCUGGAAACGGCGUCUAAUACUGGAUAUGUCCUAUCACCGCAUGGUGUGUAGGUGGAAAGAAUUUCGGUUCGGGAUGGACUCGCGGCCUAUCAGCUAGAUGGUGAGGUAAUGGCUCACCAUGGCGACGACGGGUAGCCGGCCUGAGAGGGUGACCGGCCACACUGGGACUGAGACACGGCCCAGACUCCUACGGGAGGCAGCAGUGGGGAAUAUUGCACAAUGGGCGCAAGCCUGAUGCAGCAACGCCGCGUGAGGGAUGACGGCCUUCGGGUUGUAAACCUCUUUUAGUAGGGAAGAAGCGA
rnacentral:rRNA from 1 species